GUAGUGUAGUGGUUAUCACAUCUGCAUAACACGCAGAAGGUCUUGGGUUCGACACCCAAUUAAAUCU